rnacentral:rRNA from 1 species
UACAGAGGUCUCAAGCGUUGUUCGGAUUCAUUGGGCGUAAAGGGUGCGUAGGUGGCCAGGUAAGUCGGAUGUGAAAUCCCGGGGCUCAACCCCGGAACUGCAUUCGAGUACUGCCCGGCUUGAGUACUGGAGAGGAGAUUGGAAGUUUACGGUGUAGCAGUGAAAUGCGUAGAUAUCGUAAGGAGACCAGUGGCGAAGGCGGAUCUCUGGACAGUUACUGACACUGAGGCACGAAGGCCAGGG